GCUUUAGAGAUGUCUCCAUGCUUAAUUACAAACACCCAUAGGGCUGUGCUGUCGUUUCCUACCCCACCCCCUUCCUCCUCUUACUCUAUUGGAGAACUCUUCUCCCAGCCACGCUUUCCGCGGAGCCAGGUUCCUCCUCUGCCUCCUGCUUUUCUCCAGCCACCGUCUCGUUUUGGGAAAGCGAAAGCCGUAGCUUUCUCCAGUCUUCCCUCCCUCCCUCUUUUCCUUCCUUCCUUCCUUCCUUCCUUCCUUCCUUCCUUCCUUCCUUCCUUCCUUCCUUCCUCCCUCCCACCCUUCCUUUCUUCCUUGCUUUCUUGCUUCCUCCCUCCUUUUUUUUUUUUAUUCCCUCCUCCACUUCUUGUCAUGCCAGAUGCCUAUGAAAUGGUAAUAUGGUGCCAUUAGGCGGCUCAGACUUCAAACUGUCUUAGAAAAGGGAAAAAUUUGCCUCUGUAAGUAGAAACUAGAGUUGAGAGACUUGGCUCUCUCGGAGCUCUAGCUAAAGGUGGAAAGGUGAUAAGGGUCCCAUCCUAUAAACUAUUGUUAAUGUUUGGAGACAGCGGGGGAUUUGUUGCCUUUAUACAUACAGAAUUGCUUUGACUUAUUCAAGGACUACAGUUCUGCAACCCUCACUUCAAAAUUUCUGGCAUCUCUUAGGUGGGAAAUAAGUUCGAGUUCGUUGUUUUUGCUGCAGGUCAAGGUGACAUAAGGCAAGAGCCAAAGAGAAGAUCAGCUAGACUGUUUGCGGAGAAAGUAAGACUGGAGGUGUAUCUCAGUGAUAGAGAAUUUACCUAGCACACAUGUGUGUCUGAAUUGGAUCCCCAGUAAGUGCUGAGGCAAAAGGCACUAGCUCUUAAAAAAGAAAUUAAGGAAAUAAAAGAUGAAAAAAUGAUGACACUAGAAAAGAGGGAGGAGAAAAGAAAGAAGCAGUGACAGCAGAAGAAAGACAAGAUGUAAAAGAUCAGAAAAACAAGGAAGAUCAAAGUAAAGAAGAGAAAGAAGAUGAAACAUGAGGUCAAGAGGGAAAAGAGGACAAAGAAAUAAGAAAGGAGAAGAUGGAGAAAGGGAAGAUUACCAAAAUGAAAAAAGAGAUCAAGAGGAUGAAGAUGGAGAAGGGAAAAAAGAGGAAAAACAUGGAAAAGAAAAAGGAGGUGAUGAAAAUGACGAUGAAAAAGAGAAAGGAGGUGGGAAAGAGAAGGAAGAUGGAAAAAAGGAUAAAGAUGGAAAAGAGAAAGGAGAUAAAGAAAAGAAAUAUGAAAAAGAGAGACAUGGACAGGAAGAUGAAGUUGGAAAUGCAGAAGAAGAUGGAAAGGAAAAAGAAAAAGAUGGAAAAGAGGCAGAAGGAAAAGACAAAGAAGAUGUAAAAGAACAUGGAAGAAGAGAUGAGAAAGAUAUGAGAGAUAAAGAGAAAGAUGAAAACAAACCUGAAGUUGGAAAUGAAGCUGAAAUAGAAGUUGAAAAAGAUAGAAAAGAGAGUCUGAAUAUUGUUUAAAACUGCCCUAUAUAGUUUCAUAAUACAUUUGGUAAAAUGUAGCUUCAUGCAAUAUUAAAAGAGAUAAAUACUUUAUCACAUAUUUUAUAAGCACUACUUUUCUGACAUUUCACGUCACAUACUUUUUAUUAGUCACAAAAUGCCUAACAUGAAAUUGAAUCUAAAAAUUUAUGACAAUAGUAGUGGAAUAUAUAAUAAAUAUGCUUUCAAAUUUGUCAGUGAAUUUUGCUUUCUGUAUAUUCUGUUUCAAUCUUUGAACUUGAAUUAUAUAUAUAUGAAUAUAUGAGUGAUAGAAUACAGAAUGAUAGUUUCACAAUGUAGGGGAUUUUCAAAAGAAAAAGUUUCAUGCAACAUUCUUAUGGUUCUCUAAAUCACUUGUACAAAGAAGGCAAACCAUUUUCAUUUAAUGCUAUGAGUUAGCAGUGUGUUUCCUAAGUAUAAUUUUACUAAUAACAUUGAAAAAUAUAAAAUUGUAAUUUUGUUUUUCAAAGAAAUACAAACAUUUAUUUCAGAAAGCUAGUUUCAAUUGUAUGUGUUUGUGAAGUUUUCCUACAAUGCACAAUUUUUUACUGGAUGUAUCUUAAUUAAAAAGACUCUUCAAAGAUGAUUGUAGUUUGUUAUAUCUCAAAACUGUGUCUAGUGAAACAUUAUAACUCUAAAUUUUUAUAUUGUGAUGUUCAUGACAGCAUAUAAAAUUUUUCAUUGAGAUACAAUUAUCAUAAUAUUCUCUACUUUAGUAAUUUCUAAGGGUGAAGUUCAUUGUUUUUAGUAUGUUCAUAAUGCUUUGCAAUCAUCACAUCUGUCUACUUCCAGAGCAUUUUCAUCACUCAAAUAAAAAGCAAAAGUACUCAUGAAUAGUUUCUCCUUUUUCUCAUCAACUACACACCACCCUCCAUUAUCUGCCAAUGAUUUCAAGUUCUGUGAAAUUGCCAAAUUUGAAUAGUUCAAAUAAAUAGAAUCAUGAAAUA